GGCGCUGAGGCUCAGUUGGUUAAAGCAUCUGCCUUAGAAGCGGGGGAUCCUGGAGACAACUCUCAGCAGUGCCU
rnacentral:tRNA from 1 species